CUUCUAGAUGGUUGCUCAGCUCAGAAGUCUUAGAGAAAUUCUGAUGCCUCUCCUCACAUUUGCUCUGUCGGCAAAUCCUGGUGUCACAAGAGGGCUCAGGAGGGUUUCUGGAUGCCAACGAGACCCCAGCCACAGCCGGUCCCCAGAUUCUUGACAUCAUCACAAGAAAGAAUUCACAGAUGGUGCACAAGAAGGCUCUCGCCAGAUGCUGGUCUUGUGAUCUU
rnacentral:lncRNA from 1 species